CCUACGGGGGGCAGCAGUGGGGAAUAUUGCACAAUGGGGGGAACCCUGAUGCAGCAACGCCGCGUGGGUGAAGAAGUAUUUCGGUAUGUAAAGCCCUAUCAGCAGGGAAGAAGAUGACGGUACCUGACUAAGAAGCCACGGCUAGAUACGUGCCAGCAGCCGCGGUAAUACGUAUGGGGCAAGCGUUAUCCGGAUUUACUGGGUGUAAAGGGAGCGCAGGCGGCGCGGCAAGUCAGAUGUGAAAGCCCGGGGCUCAACCCCGGGACUGCAUUUGAAACUGCCGUGCUGGCGUGUCGGAGAGGCAA
rnacentral:rRNA from 1 species